AUUACCCAAUCCCGACUCGGGGAGGUAGUGACAAUAAAUAACGUUGCAGGCGCCAAUGGCUUCUGCAGUCGGAAUGAGUACAAUAUAACACCCUUAACGAGGAACAAUUGGAGGGCAAGUCUGGUGCCAGCAGCCGCGGUAAUUCCAGCUCCAAUAGCGUAUAUUAAAGUUGUUGCAGUUAAAAAGCUCGUAGUUGGAUUUCGGAACUGGCCGAUUGGUCCAUCCUCUGGAUUGCGUACUGAUCGGUCUGUUCUUCUUCGCGAAGACCACGUGUGUCCUUAACUGGGUGGGCGUGGGAUUCGCGACGUUUACUUUGAAAAAAUUAGAGUGUUCAAAGCAGGCAUUCGCUUGAAUAUCUCAGCAUGGAAUAAUAGAAUAGGACUUUGGUCUUAUUUUGUUGGUUUCCGAGACCGAAGUAAUGAUUAAUAGGGACAGUUGGGGGCAUUCGUAUUUCAUUGUCAGAGGUGAAAUUCUUGGAUUUAUGAAAGACGAACUUCUGCGAAASSAUUUGCCAAGGAUGUUUUCAUUAAUCAAGAACGAAAGUUGGAGGCUCGAAGACGAUCAGAUACCGUCCUAGUUCCAACCAUAAACGAUGCCGUCUGCGGAUCGGAGGUCGCUCAUUUAAGGCUCCUUCGGCACGCUAUGAGAAAUC
rnacentral:rRNA from 1 species